CUCGGAGUUUGAUCCUGGCUCAGGAUGAACGCUAGCGGCAGGCUUAACACAUGCAAGUCGAGGGGUAUUGGUUUUCGGACCAAGAGACCGGCGCACGGGUGCGUAACGCGUAUGCAAUCUACCUUUCACAGAGGGAUAGCCCAGAGAAAUUUGGAUUAAUACCUCAUAGUAUGCAGAGUUGGCAUCAACACUGCAUUAAAGUCACAACGGUGAAAGAUGAGCAUGCGUCCCAUUAGCUUGUUGGUAAGGUAACGGCUUACCAAGG
rnacentral:rRNA from 1 species